rnacentral:rRNA from 1 species
CUUAAAUGAAUUGACGGGACCCGCACAAGCGGUGGAUGAUGUGGAUUAAUUCGAUGCAACGCGAAAAACCUUACCUACCCUUGACAUGUCCGGAAUCCCGAAGAGAUUUGGGAGUGCUCGCAAGAGAGCCGGAACACAGGUGCUGCAUGGCUGUCGUCAGCUCGUGUCGUGAGAUGUUGGGUUAAGUCCCGCAACGAGCGCAACCCUUGUCAUUAGUUGCCAUCAUUUGGUUGGGCACUCUAAUGAGACUGCCGGUGACAAACCGGAGGAAGGUGGGGAUGACGUCAAGUCCUCAUGGCCCUUAUGGGUAGGGCUUCACACGUCAUACAAUGGUCGGUACAGAGGGUAGCCAACCCGCGAGGGGGAGCCAAUCCCACAAAGCCGGUCGUAGUCCGGAUCGCAGUCUGCAACUCGACUGCGUGAAGUCGGAAUCGCUAGUAAUCGUGGAUCAGAAUGUCACGGUGAAUACGUUCCCGGGUCUU